GGUUGCUUGGUCUAACGGCAUGACACUUAGACAUGGUACAGUGCUACACAACUCAACUUGCCUAACACGUGAAGAGGGUUCGACUCCCUCAGCAACCA